UCUGCCUCCGAUUCCUCCCGGGCAGACUGGGGAACAUUUAGCAAAGUCACUGCCUGGCUCCUGGCCCUGGUAUCCUGGGGUCAGAAACCCUGUGCAGUUCAUGUCAAAUGUCCCUCACCCUUGUCGAUCUGUUAUUUCAGUUUUGCUGAACACCUCUUCCCUGAGCUAAGCUUCACCUCACUGGAGACCUUGGUCCUCAAAGGGACAACCUGUUCAUUUCACCUUAACAAACCGGGAGGCUCCCAGCCACUGACCUCAGGCAUGAAGAUGUUCCAGGCACAUCAGGUAGAUUUGAGACAUGGAGUCCAGUCCUGGAGUAACAGAUUACAGCUCUCUGUUCCAUGAAUAAGGGUAAGUUUCCUUACUUCCCUGAGUCUUUGGGGUGCAGUGAGGGAGGGGGUUGAGACAAGGUUUCUCUG
rnacentral:lncRNA from 1 species